UACAUAGGUGGCAAGCGUUAUCCGGAAUUAUUGGGCGUAAAGAGCGCGCAGGUGGUUGAUUAAGUCUGAUGUGAAAGCCCACGGCUUAACCGUGGAGGGUCAUUGGAAACUGGUCGACUUGAGUGCAGAAGAGGGAAGUGGAAUUCCAUGUGUAGCGGUGAAAUGCGUAGAGAUAUGGAGGAACACCAGUGGCGAAGGCGGCUUCCUGGUCUGUAACUGACACUGAGGCGCGAAAGCGUGGGGAGCAAACAGGAUUAGAUA
rnacentral:rRNA from 1 species